rnacentral:rRNA from 1 species
AUGCUCAAUGAGCACACUUCUUGGACUAUCACGGGCGUCUAUGGCCCGCAGGGUGAGCAGGACAAGUUGGCCUUCAUUGAGGAGCUUAGGACACUCAAGACCGCGGCAAGAAGCGAGUGGCUCCUUUUGGGGGACUUCAACCUCAUCACUAAAGCGGCGGAUAAGAGCAACGCCAACAUCAAUCGCCGCCUGGUGGGCAAGUUCCGUGGGGCUCUUGAUUUCUUGCAUCUAAAGGAGCUUCACCUGGGCGGGCGCCGUUUCACCUGGUCCAAUGCGCAGGCCAACCCGGUCCUUACCAAGAUUGACCACGUGUUCCACUCCGAUGAUUGGGACAUGCUCUUUCCCAAUGCGCAUCUUCAGGCUAUCACUACAGCUUGCUCGGAUCAUGCUCCGUUAUACCUUCAGGGGUGCGUCGACAUCUUGAGAAAGUCUUCCUUUAAAUUCGAGGAAUUCUGGCUUCGUCUACCGGGCUUCAAGGACACCAUCGCCUUGGCAUGGAACAAGCCUGUCCAGGCCCGUGAUGCCAUCCGCAAGAUUCAUAUCAAGCUUUGUCGGACCGCGAAGGCCUUGCGCAAGUGGCAAAAGGAAAAAGUUGGGAUGCUUGGCUCCCAGAUCGCAGUUGCCAAAGAGAUCAUCUGGCGCCUGGAUGUUGCUGAGGAGGGAAGACCGCUCACAGAUUCUGAGAGGGAUUUGCGUAAACAGCUGAAGGCGUCGUACCUGGGGCUACUAGCCAUUCAGAAAAUCAAGCUGAGACAGCGCUCUAGGCUAAACUGGAUCCGCCUGGGGGAUGCCACCACUAAGCUUUUCCAUGCUCGUGCGAACGGAUGA